rnacentral:rRNA from 1 species
GACGAACGCUGGCGACGUGCUUAACACAUGCAAGUCGAACGGAAAGGCCCUGCUUUUGUGGGGUGCUCGAGUGGCGAACGGGUGAGUAACACGUGAGUAACCUGCCCUUGACUUUGGGAUAACUUCAGGAAACUGGGGCUAAUACCGGAUAGGAGCUCCUGCUGCAUGGUGGGGGUUGGAAAGUUUCGGCGGUUGGGGAUGGACUCGCGGCUUAUCAGCUUGUCGGUGGGGUAGUGGCUUACCAAGGCUUUGACGGGUAGCCGGCCUGAGAGGGUGACCGGCCACAUUGGGACUGAGAUACGGCCCAGACUCCUACGGGAGGCAACAGUGGGGAAUAUUGCACAAUGGGCGGAAGCCUGAUGCAGCAACGCCGCGUGCGGGAUGACGGCCUUCGGGUUGUAAACCGCUUUCGCCUGUGACGAAGCGUGAGUGACGGUAAUGGGUAAAGAAGCACCGGCUAACUACGU